rnacentral:lncRNA from 13 species
UCUUGACCACCCUAUCUACAGAGGACCCAGCAAAAAGGUACCUUCUAUGAACCAGAAGACCAGCCCUCACCAGAUGCUGAAUCUUCUUUGAUCUUGGACUUCUCAGCCUCUGGAACUGCUGAAGUGCAAUGGCGUGAUCUCGGCUCACUGCAACCUCCGCCUCCUGGGUUCAGGCAAUUCUCCUGCUUCAGCGUCCUGAGUAGCUGGGAUUACAGGC